CCAAAACUUCUCCCUGGACACACACAGACAGAUAGGUGGACAGGUAGGUAAACAGAUAGGUGGACAGAUAGGUGGACAGAUAGGUGGACAGAUAGGUGGACAGAUAGGUAAACAGAUAGGUGGACAGAUAGGUGGACAGAUAGGUGGACAGAUAGGUAAACAGAUAGGUGGACAGAUAGGUAAACAGAUAGGUGGACAGAUAGGUAAACAUAUAGGUGGACAGAUAGGUAAACAUAUAGGUGGACAGAUAGGUAAACAGAUAGGUAGACAGAUAGGUGGACAGAUAGGUAGACAGAUAGGUGGACAGAUAGGUGGACAGAUAGGUAAACAUAUAGGUGGACAGAUAGGUAAACAGAUAGGUGGACAGAUAGGUGGACAGAUAGGUAAACAGAUAGGUGGACAGAUAGGUGGACAGAUAGGUAAACAGACAGACAUGUUACCUUUCCCUGCUGCAUUCUCUGAAUCGUCUCCUCCGGCG